AGUCAGGUCUAUAGCCAGGUAUAGCCAGGUCUAUAGCCAGGUCUAUAACCAGGUAUAACCAGGUAUAGCCAGACUUUUUUUCUCGUAAAGU